CAGCCAGCCGCCCCUCACCAAGGCCAUUUCUUCAAAAGGACUUUCCAGAAUGGAGUCAGACGGGACCUGUCAGAGGAACCACAGGACACACAGGCCUCAUCAGCAGUUCCAGAGCAGCUCUGGGGAGAAAAGCUCCCAGCCCUGUCCUCCCGAGGAACCAUUUAAGAGAGUAUAUGUAGGAGUGUGUCUGUGAGGCAGGUGGAGGCUGGAGUGAGGAACUCGUAAAUGUUAGAAACCCUGGAAUUCUGAAAUGCUGGCAGCACAGAAUAUUAGAAUCACGGCACUAAAUGAGGGACCUUCAAGGUAGAUUCAUCGACAUGAAAGGGACACAUCGAGUGGCUGCCACCCGCAC